rnacentral:rRNA from 1 species
AUUGAACGCUGGCGGCAGGCCUAACACAUGCAAGUCGAACGAGUGGCGGACGGGUGAGUAAUGUCUGGGAAACUGCCUGAUGGUGGGGGAUAACUACUGGAAACGGUAGCUAAUACCGCAUACCAUCGGAUGUGCCCAGAUGGGAUUAGCUAGUAGGUGGGGUAAAGGCUCACCUAGGCGACGUUCCCUAGCUGGUCUGAGAGGUUGACAAGCCACAGUGGAACGGAGACACGGUCCAGACUCCGACGGAAGGAAGGAGUGGGGAAUAUUGCAAAAUGGGCGCAAGCCUGAUGCAGGAAUGCCGAGUGAAUGAAGAAGGACUUCGGGUUGUAAAGUACUUUCAGCGGAGAGGCGUUACCCGCAGAAGAAGCACCGGCUAACGCCGUGCAAGCAGCCGCGGUAAUUC